AGAAUCAACGCUGGCGGCGUGCCUAACACAUGCAAGUCGAACGAGAAAGUGGAGCAAUCCAUGAGUAAAGUGGCGCACGGGUGAGUAACACGUGACUAACCUACCCUCGAGUGGGGAAUAACUUCGGGAAACCGAGGCUAAUACCGCAUAAAACCUAAGGGUCAAAGGAGCAAUCCGUUUGAGGAGGGGGUCGCGGCAGAUUAGUUAGUUGGCGGGGUAAUGGCCCACCAAGACGAUGAUCUGUAUCCGGCCUGAGAGGGCGCACGGACACACUGGAACUGAAACACGGUCCAGACUCCUACGGGAGGCAGCAGUGGGGAAUUUGCGCAAUGGGGGAAACCCUGACGCAGCAACGCCGCGUGGAGGAUGAAAUCCCUUGGGAUGUAAACUCCUUUCGAUCGGGAAGAUAAUGACGGUACGGAAGAAGAACGCCCGGCUAACUACGCGCCAGCAGCCGC
rnacentral:rRNA from 1 species